GUCCCCACCCUGGGCUCACCUGACUGAGGACAAAGAAGGUUCGAACGUUCCAGAACCUGGCCUGUUCCUGGAAGAAAGUCUUCAGGUAGAUGUCCUCGAAGGUCUUGAAGCAGCCGACCAAGGUGACAAAGGUCUCAUCGUCUUCAUUGUCUGUGAUGCUCUGCACGAUAGGCACCAUAGGGGCCAGGCCUGUGCCGGCUGCCAGCAUGAGGAGCUCACCGUACUACAGAGCAGGACAGAGAGCACAGUGGGUGGCGGGUGGGUCUCACACUAUCCACAGGGCUCUUCUCUUGGUCUUGCCUAAGCUGGGCAGCAAUGCAUCUCUCAAGUGUACCACCCGUCUCUGCCAUGCUCUUCCCCUGGUGCAUGAAGGCACCUGAAUUACGAACAGCAGGUAAAGCCUGCGGAACACAGCUCAUGCGACUCUGAGGCUCCCAGAGAGCAAAGCCCAACCUUCUCUUAGCAUUUCUCUACAAGGACUCUGCUUACAGCUGGCAAGGAACUCAACUACCUCCCAAAGUCACUUCCUCUCCCACCGAAGCCUGGCCCCUCCCAACUCCAUCGCAGCCUGCUCUAGAGCCUGCCUCCUCCACUCUGCAGAGCUCUACAAAGGUCUCAGGCCCCCAGCCGAGAACUCUGAGCCUCUCUGAAGUAAAGGAAGUAAUGAAUACAUCUGCCUAGCUGGCAUUGGAAGAUUUCCAGAAAUGGAAUUACUGGGUCAAAGGAUUCUCAAGACUCUUGAUACACACGACUGGACUUCUUCCCAGGAAUGAGGCAGCGAUGAGAAAUGACCAGUUCUUUCUGGGAAAGGUGGGCAAAGCAAGCGUGCUGUGGAGACGAGGCAAGAGCCUUCCAGUCUAGAAGUGAGUGUGGGCUGUGCCAGCUUCCUGAGGAGAAGAUGCAAUCGGAACAGCAUCUAAGAGUCAGAGGGCAUCAGGGUCCUGAGCUCUGGGUCCUCAAACCUGAUCUUCUGAGGCACGGCAGCCAUCAACGGUUUUGGAGUAAAGGGGACAGUGUGUUUAUUAGGGCCCAUCUAUCUUGUCUAAGCCUUGUUUCAGCCUCACAUCACUCUGGGGGCUGGGUUUAAAUGUUGGAAGAACAGCACAGUGACUUGUGGAAGCUCCUCAGGACUGAAGGUGCUGGCACUGACCUUUUUUGGUUCAUAUAAGAAGCUUCCGAAAGGCCCUCGCCAGAAAGCUGUGUCUCCUGGUCUCCAGGACUCCACAUAGCGGGACAUCAGCCCAGUCUCGUAGCACUUGAAGCAAACACAGGGAAUGGUCAGUGGAUAGACAUUCGCCACAGCACAAAUCUCCCUAACUAAUGCUUGAAGCUCCUGCAUGCUCAGUGCCUCCUGAGGACUCUCACCUUGCCUUCUUCUGUACCCCCCAUACUGGAGCUAUCAUCCACACUGGCAUCUAGACACACAGGAGGAUGGUAAGGCUGAGAUGAGACUCCAAUGGACCUACCAACCUUCAGAGAGGUCGAACACUGAAAUGCCUGAGGAGGCCACGCAGGGAGUGUAGCCCAACAAAGAACGGGUUAGUGACUAAAGGCAACAAGCGUGCAGUGUGAGAAAAGACACUGUCUGUUUAAAAGGGAUGGAUGUGGGGUUGGGGAUUUAGCUCAGUGGUAGAGCGCUUGCCUAGCAAGCACAAGGCCCUGGGUUCGGUCCCCAGCUCCGAAAAAAAGAAAAAAAAAAAAAAAGGGAUGGAUGUUCCUUCUAAGAGGGAAGCUAUUUCUCAGGUGCUAGUCUGUAACUUGUGGGGCAGAUGUUGCCAGAUCUCAGAAGUCUUCCAGGAGAUAGAGGAGAUCCAUUUUUUACUGAAAACCUUCCCAGUUCUGAAAUGUCAGCAAUAAACUUGUAAUUCUGCAAUC